CCAAAACCGAGCCUCGACCACACCGACACCGACACACGCAGCGUCAGACGGCGGACAUGUGAGCAGCUGGACCCGCCGUGAGGAAACAGCAGAACACAUGCGCUCACUGGAGUUUCUGGGCGGAACCGCGAAGGAGAACAGAACCUCCCGGUGUCGUGGACCUGCUCCUCCACUUUAAACCGACAGCACAGCCUCUUCUUAUCGAUCCUGGCUGCAGGACCGGUUCUCCUGCUGGGCUCCAUCAGCUUCCCUGUCAUGUAACUACACCGCCACCUGGUGGAGAUCAGAGACGAGUCAGUCUGAGAGGAGCGGAGAGACAAAAGAGAACAACCAUCACACACAAGCUGCAGACUCCCAGGUGGAGGUGCUGCUGUCACAUCCGGUUACAUCUGUCUGCAUCAAUGCAUCAGCCUCCACCUGCUCCACCUGCUCCACCUGCUCCACCUGCCUCUCUCACACAUCUGCUGUGCUGCUGAAAAUAAUAUUAUCCAGCUGAAAUCCACCUGAUCUGUAUCUGACUCAGGUUCAGGUUCAUGAUCAUCUGGAGGUGUAUUUCUGCAAGUUAAAGAAGAAAAAAAAAGACGAAAGUUAAACGUGAUUAAAGUCACAAUCAUGAGGUUUUAAAACAUAUAAAUUAAGUAAAAAGGCAUAAUUGUAAAGGACAUGGUCAAAAUAAAUGAGAUAAAAGUCAUUUAUGAAAUAAAAUAGUUGCAAUUAUGAGAUGAAGGUCCAAAUUAUGAAUUUAUAAGGUCAAACUGAUGAUUUAAAGUCAAAAUUAUUGAACAUAAAGUGAAAACUAUUAACUCAAAAGUCAAAAUAAUGAAAUAAAAAGUCAAAAUUAUUGAAUCAAAAUUCAAAAUGUUUCUCACAUUUUGAAUUUUAUCUCACAAAACGGAUCCUUCUUACCACUGUAAGAAUUAGACGACAGACGACAUGAGUGAAGCCUCUGUGUAAGUUCUCAGCUUCACUGCUGACUUUAUUUAUUAUAAAUAAAAACCAACAGAAGCUCUCAGAUUUGUAAAAAUCCUACUGGUGUUUCACAGUGUUGAUAAACAGCCACGUUGAGGGUAAAUACAAAGAAACGCUCACAUUCAGAACAGCAACACAACGACAGAAUCCGACUGGUUUAAGGUUUCUGUGGCACUUUUCUACUUGGCUUCUUAAGAGAGAGAGAGAGAGAGAGAGACACCUCACACAAUACUGUACUUUAUAUUACACAUUUACACAGCACGUGGCAAACCGACCUAAUAAAUCUGGUACAUUCAAAACGUAGAAAACAGUGUUUCUGGAGGUGAAGUUACAGAGUACCAAAAACAAAUAAAUACGUAGGUAAAGAACAGAAAUGGUUCAGAUCAGUUUGAAGACGAGUUUCGGCCACAAAGAGACGCGUAAAAAGUGCAAAUAAGAGCUUCAGAGAGAAAAAAGGUGCUCGAUUAAUUCCACUUGGGUUGAAAGAUUAUUCAGUAAUGUAUAUUUAGUGUUCCGUGAUAACAGUUAUGUGGAAGUCUUGAAUCAAGUUUAAGGCAUUAUUAUGUGGCCUUAAAGGAACAGUUCACCCAAAACACAGUCCACCACUGUAAGAUAGAAAUACUCAAGCAAAGUAAAAGUACUUCAAAAUUGAAUUAAAAGUAAGUAAGCAAGUAAGUUCUCAGGAUCAGAAGUUGAGUAAAUAUACUUAGUUAUUCACCACGACUGAAGUAGACGGGGACUUGUUUUAAAACCUAAACAUAUGAAAUGAAAAACACGGAAUGGAUCCGUACAGCUCGUCUGACGUAAUCAAAGACCAAAAUUAGAUUAUUUUUUUUUCUGUGAUGUCGACAAUGUGGGUGAACUUCUCCUUUAAAUAAAAGUUCUGAGUCAAAAUGUCGUCUAACUGCUGAAAAACUGGAUGCAAAAUCUAUCAAAUGAUCUUGGCAGUUGGAUUAAUACAAGACUUUUUUGUGUCGGGAGGAAUAAAAUAAUCUACGACGGAGCAAAUACUUAGAUUUACACGAUACUGCAAACGUUAGAAUAAAAAAAAGAAACGUCUACUUUUUAAUUAUUAGGACAGAAAUAGAAUAUAAAAUUUAGGAGACCUCAUGUGGUAACUUCUGCAAGUAAACACGAGGAAAAACACUUUGGAAGUAAAUUUGUUUUUUUCUGAAGAGCUAAUUUUAUAGAGACACAUUUUCAGCCGGACGAGCUGUGUUGACGUCUUUCAACCCAAGAGAAGCUGCAUUUGAGCACUCUGGAAAGACUUUUAAUUUUUGAAUGCACUUUUCCUUUUUUCCAGAAUUUAAAACUAGACACAUCAGAACUGAUUCAAAUAAUAAAAAAA